CCGACCCGACUUCCAUUUAGCCUGGAAUUUUAGAGCCAGGCCCGCACUUCCUUUGCCUCUCUGGGCUUCGCCUGGUAGUCGCUUGACCCGACCCCGCCAAAAAUAGCCGACCCAACUCGUUUUAUGCGUGCGUGGAUUUAACGAGCGCUUUUGCGAGUGGGCUUUCUAAACCACGCGCAGCACUUCAACUCGUGCGUGUUGUACACAUUCCUACGCGCACCCACGCCUGAGGUUAUCAAGCACGCGCCGGUGUUGCAUUUGCUGGUUUUUCCCCUCGAUUCGCUUUCUCCGCCGCAACUCGUCUUACACGGGCGUGCAUCACUACCCUCCGGCCAAAAUGAGCUUCCGAGAUCGGAGCUCCGUGCGUCAGUUGGAGUAAACAGCCGAUCUUCCUCCCAGACGACAGUUCCCACCAAUAAAGUCACCGUUCACGAUCACCAGUGGGGUGUAGUCCUCGAGUUUGUUGUCCUAGUCUGGGAAAGAUUUUGCCUUUUUGAGGGAUUUUGACUUUAAGGUUUGGUUUUUGCAGGACCAGUAUAUACUUGACACAGCGGAUUGAGCUUCCUUUUGCUUGCACUCUUGCAGGCAUGGUAUUAACUCUCUCUACGCUAGAUUUUGACCUGAUUGAUAAAUUCUUAGGGAUGUUAUAUUACUGCAUUGUGAAUUUGUGAUGCUUGCUUCCUGUAAUCUGAUAUAGGGUCUCUUAGUUCAGCUAUGUCAUCCAAGAGUGUAAUUCAUUCAAAUUUGCAGAGUUUAUAAACCAUAAUGCUUGCAUAGUAUAGGAUGAUCAAAUUAAUAGAGUUGAAGGAUUUGAUGUAUUUAGAAACAUGUAUAUUGGUACCGAGAUACAAAUAUGUUCAUGAUGAACUUAUCAAUUCUAUUGAUGAAAUUGUGUUCAUCGCCGGGUUUCUACUUGUUGCAGAGUGUUGUACUAGUUGUGCAGUAGGUGUAAAAUCAUACUAAGGAGAUUGGACAAUAAACAUGUAUGAAAUUAAUGACAAAGUGAUGCGAAUCUGCUGUUUUGAUGCUGGGAUAUGCAUUACUUUGUGUUGGAUUCCUGUCUCGAAAUGGAAACACAAGAUGAGGAUGAGGUACGCUUGCGAUGCAAAACCGGCAUUCUCAGUUCGGCCAGUUUAUGCGUCGGAUGAUAAAGCAUUGCAGUAGCUACUGAAGGAUAAAUCUCUGUUCACUAUAACUUUGCAGCAGAAGUAGGAGUUGAUAUUUCAAGGGGUACUUGAUUUAGAUGCCUUGGUUCAUGGGUUCCUUACAUACUCAGUCAUGUUGCUUUUCUUUUGGCAAAAAUUUACAGGCAGACUUUGUAAACAUCUGGGUUGGCCGCACAGGUCGAUCGAGCUGGUCAAUAUGCGUAUCUACAUUGUUAAAGCUAAUAUAUUACCACAAAUUGAAGCUGCCUGAACUACAUCCAUGGAGGCUGUGUGAUAAUCUAUCAAACUACAUCGCACAUGAUGGUCAGCUCUGCUGCAGGGAGUACCACAUUCAACUCAUCAAGGAAAAGGCCACAAAUUUUGAGUACCAUUAUUGCAGCAGAAGUAGAUGCUGAAUCAUAAAUCUCUAUCCAUGACUAUAGCUUUGAGCCUGCGAACCAUUAACAAAUGUAAAAAACGUUGCAGACUUUAGUUUGAAUCAUUGAUUUUGAUAUAUAUGUAAGCUAAGCUAGCUCUCCAACUCCAUAAGACUUCCUUUUCUAAUUCAUUGGUGGAUAAUGUUGUUAUGGAAUAAAGAUAAAUGUGUUGAUUUAUCGCUAUUCGUCCG
rnacentral:lncRNA from 1 species